AAACACGAACUAUCGGUAAAUAAUCGGCCAAUUGCCGUAAACGAUGGCUGAGUAACGGCAUCGGCAAAAUAUAAUUGGUCCUAUGUGUUACCGAUGAUUGAAUUUUGGCCUUUGGCAUUUGAACGCUGGCAUAACGUUGGCAUUUAUUUAAGUAAUCAUUUUAAAGUAUACAACCGGUAGUGCAUCAACGGAACGGCAACGUGCCAACGUGCGUUUCCCAUUCUUCUUAAAAAUUUGCGUUUGACGUAUCUCUUGUCAAUGAUGUCAAUUAUCUAAUUUGUCCCGCCAACGCCGACUGACGCCGACCGAAAUGGAAAAAUGAGAAAAAACGCCGCUUAUUGUGUCUUGAAUUUGGAAUAUUGGAAUGUGUUUUAAAUCAUUCGUGAUCUUAGUAAUUUUUUAAGUGUUUAAUUAUUGUGAAGUUUUAUUGUAUUGUUCGAUUGUUGCUACUUUGAGGAAAAAUGAAUAAUCAAUUGCUAGACAUUAGUAAAAACUACCCGACAACGGUGACAACUUGAUCAGCAUUUAGAAUGUCUACUUUUAAAUCCAAAAGUAAGCGUCAGCAAAGACGUUUAAUUAACGCAAAGGUAGAGAAAGUAAUUGGUGAAUUGCGAGCUGAAAAUUUUACCUCCGAGGCUGGCUCUGAAGAUUCUCAUUGUCCUCAGCCCAUAGUACAAAUCUGUACAAAUAACCAUACUUAUUCUACGCCAUCAACUUCUUCAGGUUCUAUUUUUAAUGAAAACUUAUUCAGUUUACAUAAAAAAAAAUCACAUACUGAUGAUGCCUUUGAUGAUUUGAAAGAACUAAAUGUAUUAUUAGAAAAUGAAGAACAAUUUAAAACUCUUUGCAUGAAACUUAGUUUAGUUGGCGGAAAAGAUGUUGCCACAUGCACAAGAAAAAUUCUUUCUCGCUUAAUUUCACAUCAAUUAACUCUUAAUUUAAAUUGGACGGGAAGAAAUGAAAAAAGUGGUCUUAAAGAGCUUGGAAAUGUAGUUAAGGUCAUUGUAGCUUCUGUUAGGAGAAAUCCGAAUUUCAAAAACGGAACUGCGGACGAAAUCGAACACAUGAUAAAAACUUGGCUUCGCAAUGCUGCUGAUAGAGAUGGGGGGAGAGUAAGAAGAAAUAAGAAUACUAAUUGAUUUGAUGAUGGAACGUUUUAUUUUAUUUUUUAAGUUUGUUUGAAAGAAUGUUUUUUUUUCUCUUUAUUUGUGUUCAGCCCUGGGUAAAUAUGUAUAUUGAAUAUUAAUGAAUUAUUUAUAUUAUAUCUUCCUUCAUAAGCCUAAUGUAUUUUUAUUUAUUCCUAUAGCCAUUUUUAAACAAAUAAAUAAUACAGAAUAUUACAGUUCGGUUUUUGCAACUUUUCUGAAAAGAAGUUUCACGCGUACAAGGAAGUACAUGCAGUGACCGGCUAAAAUAUGGAACAAAUUUAUUUAAAAAUUACAUAAUUGAUUUUUUAAAAGGGUGCUCGAACACGUCUUAUCAUAUUUUUCUUGCGCAUUUUUUGCACCAAAUAAAAUAUACAGGAUAUAUAAUUUUUAAAUGAAUUUGUUCCAUAUUUUAGCUGGUCACAGUGUAUACAGGGUUAUUCAUAAGUCCUAUUUGACGUUUACGGAGAACCAAAAAUCCAAUCCUCUUAAAAACUGGGGUCUUAAAACAGUGAUGCAGUUUCUUGCUAAACUUGGCGACAACUUCGUUUUUUUUUAUAUAGAACACCUUUAUAUUAGUUUGUUUUUGAAUUAACCUUGAGAUUUUAUGUAACUUCUAAUAAUGCCCUAUGCCUUUCUUCAACAGUUUUCGAAAAAAAAAAUUACUUUCCAAAAUUUUCGCUAAAAUAAGAAUCAAAAGAAGUCGCGAAUUCUCGGUUAUGCAAAAUAGUAAAAAGUUGAAAUUAUUUUUUUUCCUAAAACAGUUGAAGAUAUAGGUAUAGAAGGCAUUAUAGUAGUUAUUUAAAAUUUCAAGGACAAAUCAACAAACUAAUAUACGGGUGUUCUAUUUAAAAUAACGAUGCUGGUUGCCAAGUUUAGCAAGAAACGGAAACCUUGCGUUUGGCCAGCAUUCUGCCGAUGUUUAUUUUAAAUUAAAUAUAAUCCAUAGGGCCAUAAGAUUUAAGCACGUAUAGCCAGCGUUGGCCCAACGAUACAAUUUAGACGUUGCAUCGGCCCAACGCCGAUUUAUACGGUCGGCCGACAUACGGUUCGACUGUCGGCCGGGCGGUCAUAUACGGUCCGGGCCAGUACUUUUUUUUGGGGUCGGUCCAGUGCCUGUUCUCCGGCAAUGCGGCAUUUGUUUGAUGCUGGCCCGUAAGAAAUGUGUU